UUCCACUCUCUCUCCGUCAUUCUUCUCUGGCGAUCUAGGGUUCGCCUUUAGUGAUCUUCGCAAUGUUUCUAGGGUUCCUGCAGCGGGGCGGUGGCGGAGGCUUCUUCGUUCGGCACAGUAGAUGGAGCCGGAAGCCACGAAAGCGGUGACAGCGUGCGGGAGCAGGAUCUCUUCCAUCCCAUCGCCAGAAUCGUUGCUCCGUUCGAAAAUCGGAAGAGUGGCGAUUCCGGCGAGAUGAGAGCUCCAGCUUCCCGAUCGUUCUCCCAGAUGGGUUUCCUCGAAGAUUUCCAAGGCACGGUCAGCUCCCGGACCACCGCUCCAUCUAUUCCGUCAUUGAGAAGAUCAGCGAGGAGCACCUCACAUUGAGUGACCCAGACCGCAACUACCACUACCAUUGUAACUAGGUUCAUCAACAAAAUUCUCUUGCACAGAACAUGAAUUACAUAUCCUCUGCAGGCGUGGUUCAAUUUAUUGUUGUUGAUCCUGACCGAAUGCUGAAUCAACGGACGCUGGGCAAGUGACGCUCCCCGGCUGCUGACGUGGAUCUUCGACUGGUUGCGCGAACCUCCGGCGAACCUGCACAGAAGUCGGGCCGGGAAGGGGUUCCCGACGG